rnacentral:rRNA from 1 species
UACGUAGGGGGCAAGCGUUGUCCGGAUUUAUUGGGCGUAAAGAGCGUGUAGGCGGCCAGGUAGGUCAGCUGUGAAAACUCGAGGCUCAACCUCGAGACGUCGGUUGAAACCACCUGGCUAGAGUCCGGAAGAGGAGAGUGGAAUUCCUGGUGUAGCGGUGAAAUGCGCAGAUAUCAGGAAGAACACCCGUGGCGAAGGCGGCUCUCUGGGACGGUACUGACGCUGAGACACGAAAGCGUGGGGAGCAAACAGG